rnacentral:rRNA from 18 species
UAAGUUUCAACAACGGAUCUCUUGGCUCUCGCAUCGAUGAAGAACGCAGCGAAAUGCGAUAAGUAAUGUGAAUUGCAGAAUUCAGUGAAUCAUCGAAUCUUUGAACGCACCUUGCGCUCCUUGGUAUUCCUUGGAGCAUGCCUGUUUGAGUAUCAUGA